GACGAACGCUGGCGGCGUGCUUAACACAUGCAAGUCGAACGGAAAGGCCCUGCUUUUGUGGGGUGCUCGAGUGGCGAACGGGUGAGUAACACGUGAGUAACCUGCCCUUGACUUUGGGAUAACUUCAGGAAACUGGGGCUAAUACCGGAUAGGAGCUCCUGCUGCAUGGUGGGGGUUGGAAAGUUUCGGCGGUUGGGGCUGGACUAGCGGCUUAUCAGCUUGUUGGUGGGGUAGUGGCUUACCAAGGCUUUGACGGGUAGCCGGCCUGAGAGGGUGACCGGCCACAUUGGGACUGCGAUACGGCCCAGACUCCUACGGGAGGCAGCAGUGGGGAAUAUUGCACAAUGGGCGGAAGCCUGAUGCAGCAACGCCGCGUGCGGGAUGACGGCCUUCGGGUUGUAAACCGCUUUCGCCUGUGACGAAGCGUGAGUGACGGUAAUGGGUAAAGAAGCACCGGCUAACUACGUG
rnacentral:rRNA from 1 species